GAGGGGAUAGCUCAGUGGUAGAGUGUGUGCCUAGCACAUGCAAGGUCCUGGGUUCAAUCCCCAGUACUGCCA
rnacentral:tRNA from 1 species